rnacentral:rRNA from 1 species
GAUCCUGGCUCAGGAUGAACGCUAGCUACAGGCUUAACACAUGCAAGUCGAGGGGCAGCGGGAUUGAAGCUUGCUUCAAUUGCCGGCGACCGGCGCACGGGUGAGUAACGCGUAUCCAACCUUCCGUACACUCAGGGAUAGCCUUUCGAAAGAAAGAUUAAUACCUGAUGGUAUGAUGAGAUUGCAUGAUAGCAUCAUUAAAGGUAUUUUCCGGUAGACGAUGGGGAUGCGUU